rnacentral:rRNA from 1 species
AAUUCGAUGCAACGCGAAGAACCUUACCUGGGCUUGACAUCCCGGGAAUCCCUUGGAAACAAGGGAGUGCCCUUCGGGAACCUGGAGACAGGUGCUGCAUGGCUGUCGUCAGCUCGUGUCGUGAGAUGUAGGGUUAAGUCCCGCAACGAGCGCAACCCUUGUCUUUAAUUGCCAUCAUUGAGUUGGGCACUUUAAAGAGACUGCCGGUGUUAAACCGGAGGAAGGUGGGGAUGACGUCAAGUCCUCAUGGCCUUUAUGCCCAGGGCUACACACGUGCUACAAUGGUCUGUACAAUGGGUAGCCAAGCCGCGAGGCGGAGCCAAUCCUGAAAGCAGGCCUCAGUUCAGAUUGCAGUCUGCAACUCGACUGCAUGAAGCCGGAGUUGCUAGUAACCGCAGGUCAGCAAUACUGCGGUGAAUACGUUCCCGGGUCUU